rnacentral:rRNA from 1 species
UACGUAGGGGGCGAGCGUUAUCCGGAUUUACUGGGCGUAAAGCGCGUUAAGGCGGUUGGCAAAGUUGGUUGUGAAAUCUCAGGGCUCAACCCUGAAAUUGCGACCAAUACUGGUCGACUAGAGUGCAAGAGAGGAAGGUGGAAUUCCCGGUGUAGUAGUGAAAUGCGUAGAUAUCGGGAGGAACACCAGUGGCGAAGGCGGCCUCUGGCUUGUAACUGACGCUGUAGCGCGAAAGCGUGGGGAGCGA